AGGCCCCACCAAACUUGCUGCUACGACAUAUCCAUCUUUAGAAAUUAGAAACAAAGUCCCAGAUGAAUCAACAAAAUCAUUAAUAACCAACGAGUAAAUAAAUACAUAUAUUUGGAUUAAGCACAUGUUCACCUCCGACGUCUCUGUUACUUCUUCUCUGAAUCUGACAUUUCCAGAUCUGAAUUCCCUCAAUUAUCUCUCUCUCUUCCGCUGUAAAAAAUUUCCAGGUUUUGUUUCUGCCUUCUCUUUUAAUUUUGUAGUUGUUUCACUUUUUCCUUUUACAAUCAGUCUGAACAAAUGCUUCUCGAUGGAUAUUUUUCAUCUUUUCUGCUUCUCUGUCGAUAUAUAUAUAUAUAUAUAUAUAUAUAUAUAUAUAUAUAUAUAUGCCCGAUAAAAUUAGAAUUUUACACCAUUUAAUAAUACCAUGCCAGGAAAUUUAGAAAAAAAAUUAGCUAAACAGUUUUACCAGGGUAAAUAAUAAAUAUUAAAUCAGUCAAUAUAAUCCAAAUUUCUUAUUUUCUCCUAAAUUCCCUAUGGUGUUAUUGGAGAGUAUUUUGCAUGUCAUCCGUAUAGAAUUUAAUUCCAUAUAUGUUUGGUUGCAUUUUUUUUAUACAACUGUGGACUAGAAUUAUGCUUCUUUUUUUUGGCUCGUUUACCACUUAGACCGUUUGAAUUACUUGUAUAGAUUGGUUCUUAAUAAUAAGUGAAAUUGAUCAUAAUAAAUAAGCCAUGUAGUUUGUUUGUGUUUUUUUUUAAUAAAAAAAUUGUAUAUUUGUCCAAUUAUAAUUGAUGACAGUUCUGUAUAAUCUCCUUAUUAUACUUGCUUUUAUUUUUGGGUUUGAAUGUAAAUCCAUUGUAGAUUCUGGUGGUUGAAAUGUACAUGUGAUGCAACAAAGAAUCUUCUAUUCUCUUUACCUAUCCUUUAUUAUGGAAUGGAUGGGAUUAAUUCAAUAAUCUCAUAAUCCGAUACUGAUUAUUGUUUAAAUGAUUUUCUUAUAAUACUUAAUUUGAAGUUUGUACAAGUCACUAUGAUUUAUGAAAGUUAUGUGUUUUUCCUUGGCUCAAAAAUUGAAGCUAACUUGUUUGCUGACAUGUUCAUAUGAGCUGGUCAAUUUUUGACAAUUGUUUGAAAGUUCCAUGGUUUUGGUGCAAAAAAAUAGUUUGUACGUUUUUAUGAUAGCUUAUAUGAACAGAAAAAUAAAUAAAUAAAAUAACGUGUUUUGAUGAAGUCUUAUUAAUUAUUAUUUUACCAAACUUUAUGUUCAACGUCUAUCAGUUGGAGCUAGAAACGGCAAGUAUGAAUUUUCCUUCUGACAACUUUUUGAAAGACUUCUACAUCCCUGAUUACAUACUUGUUCCUGGCUCAAAGGGUGAGCAUCUUCCUGAUGUACCUGCAUGUCCGGUACUAGUUUUCAUCAACUCCAAAAGUGGUGGUCAGUUGGGUGGAGAACUUCUUAUCACAUGUCAUUCUCUUCUAAAUGGAAACCAGGUAUUUGUCAUUCUAUGAAUGUGGAAUUUAGACGGAGUACUUUAUUAGCUUCCAUCUGAGAAUCAGCCUCUUUUUUAUUUUUAUUAUAUAUAUAUCCCGGUUGUCUUUUCUGCAAAUUAUUAUUAGGUUUUCGAUUUGGGUGAAGAGGCUCCGGACAAGGUGUUACGCAGACUGUAUCUCACUCUAGAAACACUCAAGCUUAAUGGAGACGAAUUGGCCCCAAAGAUUCAGGAGAGACUGAGAAUAAUUGUAAGUUUAGUUACAAGUAUCAUGCACCAGAUAGAUAUCCUUAUUAGUUCUGUAUUGUACUAUGGCAUAGACCUGCUUAUCCCAUUUAUCCCGACUUUUCUGACACUAAGGACUUCAUCAGGUUGCAGGUGGGGAUGGCACAGCUGGCUGGCUGCUCGGGGUUGUUUCUGAUCUAAAAUUAUCUCAUCCACCACCAAUUGCAACAGUGCCCCUGGGAACAGGAAACAACCUCCCAUUUGCUUUUGGUUGGGUAGGCAUAAGCUUGUAUGAAGCACACAAUAUGCAAUUAGAAAGCAACUUGCAUGCACAGUGCUGUUAGCUCUCCAUGCUUAUCAUACUUUAUUUAUCUUAUAUUCUUGUCAAAAGUAAUGUUAAACCUUUAUAAACCAUUCAUGAAUGUUUUCCAGUUCACAAUCUUGGUCAAAGACCUAUGACUAAUCUGUCACCUUAAAACUGUUUUUGUGUAAAUAUUACAACUCAUGUGUUGCAAUGAAAUACCAGAAAUGGGUAAAUUAACAAUAUAUUAGUCUGUUCUGAUAUACUUUAUGGAUAGUACUGAUUCAUGAGCUUCGGUAUCUUGACGUGUCUUAAGUGUGAAUAGGCUCAUGGAUUUUAUUUAUUUAUUUUAUUUUUUCUGUAAGCGCUGUGCUUAAUUUUCAGUUUUGUGAUUUCAGGGAAAGAAGAAUCCAGGAACAGACCGUAAUUCUGUGCUGUCAUUCUUGAGUCAAGUAAAGGAAGCAAAAGAAAUGAAGAUAGACAGGUCAUGCAGUUCAAAUGGUCCCUCUUUUUUUUUUAAAGUUUAUAUUGAUAUGCUAUGGGUUGUUCACAACUCUUACUAUAUAAUUAUGUGCAGACCUGAUAUAUCCUUUAACUUCUUAAUUAUGGUUAUCGAGAAAAUGCAAGUUAGAUUUGAUGAGAGAUAUACAAAAAAUUUCUUUGUUACCAUCAUGGGUAUAUAUUGUACACCUUCUUUAGACUUUGUUCGAACAUCAAACUUACUUUGAUAGGGUGUGUUACUCACAAAUGAUGUACACCUGGGGAGAGGCUCGCUAAUGACAUAGUAGUGUUUUUCUCACAUUCUUAUAUAAUUUUAUACCCUUUCUUUUAUGCAAUCAUAAGAAUUUAGUUGAUUGUGGUACACUUUUUAUGAUUUCAGACAAACAGAGUUAGUUUCAAUGCGCAGUUUUAAUUACAGAAAUGUUAACUGGAGUAUCCUAUGAUUUACUUUAGGGUUAGAUGGAAUCUCCAGUGGAACGUAAACAAUCCUCUCAGAUUCAAUCUCCCUUGUAUUAUAUGUUCUACUGCAUAGAAGCUCUAGAAUACUGUAAUACGUGCCUGUAUAUAUAUAUAUAAUAUAUAUAUAUAUGUAUAUAUUAUAAUAUAUUUAUAUAUUUGUUUGCUAUUUUUUGUCUCUUUUUCCUUCAUCUUCGGAGCUCAGUGUAUGGUGCAUGACACUGUGCGACCACUUUGAAGAUGAUGUCGACUUUUGUCUUGCUUGAUAUACUUCAUCUUGUUGAAUUGUUCAUGAUCAAUAAUUUGAGGCGAGGUAAAUUAUUACCAAGUACAAGUAGUGUUUCAUGUUCAAUGAAGGUAGUAGAUAUCCAAUAAUUCGCUUUUGUGACGCGCCAUUGAUUCUCAAUUUAUUUCAUGGGUUGACUGAGGUGAUGUUUCAGGUCCAUUGUGGAGGUUCGUUGGUAUUGGAAUGAGCGUGUUUAACCAAAAAUGAUACCUGUAUUCAAUAAAAACAGAAAAGAAUAACAAGAAAUGUUUGUAUAUGUGGGCCCCUUUUUAUGUCCUUGUUGAAGUUUAUGGUUGGAACGGAGGUGUUUUGAAAAUCUUGAGGGACCGGUCCUUGGUUAUAAAAGGCUUUUCUUAAUAUUGUCUCUGGAAUCUUUGUUUAAUCUCAAUUCUUUUGUUGAUAUUAUUUAGAAGCAAUGGUUGCUUGAUUAUUUGCUCAAAUCUAUCAUGUCUCUGACUAUAUUGUGCUUGAUUAUUUCCUUGGUGUUUUCUUCUUAACAAUGUGUACAUGACAUGAGUUGCAUCUGGCAUAUUCUGUUUUCUGUGCGAAGAGAGAAGAGUUUGUGAUGACCAACUUACAGAUUCUCCUUAAUAUUUUUGAACUNNNNNNNNNNNNNNNNNNNNNNNNNNNNNNNNNNNNNNNNNNNNNNNNNNNNNNNNNNNNNNNNNNNNNNNNNNNNNNNNNNNNNNNNNNNNNNNNNNNNNNNNNNNNNNNNCAAACGAAUAUUCCCCGACAAUAAUGAAUAUUUUAUAACCAUUUGCUUAUUUUGAAAUACUUACGUAUUUUACCUAUAACUAUCCACAUUAAUCAAAUCAACCCUUACUAUUUCAAAAUAAUAAUUAGAGGAAAUUAAAUUUUAUUUAUUAAUUAUUUGGUGUCUUACAUCACUCACGUCACUUUCUUCUCUCAUUCUUUCAAUUUUCUCUCUCUUCUACAUUAUUUAUAGGGAAUUGAUAUUUUUACCAAGGCUCGGCUACUCACAUGAAUGUGGGUCCUGUUUACCAUUCAUGUGAGUGAUGUCUUGUGAAAAUAUCAAUUUCUCUUGUGAAAAUAUUAAUUCUUAUAAAAAAAUGAUAUUUUCACAAUGUCUCACCUCCAUAGAAUAUGGUUCCGUUUACUAUUCAUACCAGAGAGUUGUGAAAAUAUUAAUUGUGAAAUUAUCAAAUCCCAAAAUAUUUUAUUAAAACGUGUUACUUUAACCUUUAACCACACAUAAUUGUCAGGCCCCACCAAACUUGCUGCUACGACAUAUCCAUCUUUAGAAAUUAGAAACAAAGUCCCAGAUGAAUCAACAAAAUCAUUAAUAACCAACGAGUAAAUAAAUACAUAUAUUUGGAUUAAGCACAUGUUCACCUCCGACGUCUCUGUUACUUCUUCUCUGAAUCUGACAUUUCCAGAUCUGAAUUCCCUCAAUUAUCUCUCUCUCUUCCGCUGUAAAAAAUUUCCAGGUUUUGUUUCUGCCUUCUCUUUUAAUUUUGUAGUUGUUUCACUUUUUCCUUUUACAAUCAGUCUGAACAAAU
rnacentral:lncRNA from 1 species